rnacentral:misc_RNA from 1 species
GCAGAAGGAUCAUUAGUGAAGAUCUGGGCAGGCCAUACGGACGCCACAAAGUGUCCCUGGCCGCCUACACCCACUAUACAUCCACAAACCCGUGUGCACUGUCCUUGGAAAGGGCAUUUGGAGAGAAAAAGGAAGAGAAGCGAGAACAGUGCGAUCCGUCGCGUUGGGCGUUGAUCUCUGACUUGGUCUCUCUGAGGCCCUUUCCUCGCUACAAACUCGAAUGGUUAGUAUGAACGUGGAACUUGGUUGGACCGUCACUGGCCAACAAACUAUACACAACUUUCGACAACGGAUCUCUUGGUUCUCCCA